ensembl:snRNA U5 U5 spliceosomal RNA
UCACUCAUGUUUCUCUUCAGAUCGUAUAAAUCUUUCGCCUUUUACUAAAGAUUUCCGUGGAGAGGAACAACUAUGAGUUUCAACUAAUUUUUUGAUGCCCUACUUUAUGUGGGGCU